AUGAGCGACCUUCCCCUCGCAUCAGCACGUAUGUCCCGCACAGCACUCGAGACGAGGAAGCGGUCCGACUACACGGUCGCGGUGCUGUCACGCCCCGCCCCUCGACGCACUGACGCACAGGGGGCCGCCAAGUGCGCCGCGGUCCACUCCCGACCCCUCCACGUCUCCCUACAACAGGACAUAUAUAUAUACUAUAUAUAUAUGUGUAUACAUACACAUCGCGCUGUGCCACAGUUUGAAGGCUGCGUUUCCAUAGACCCGAGACCCGUUUUUACACGCGAGGUCCAUUCACUUCUCGUUUCCUCUGAACGAUCCCCACAUGUCACUUCCUUGUUCCGCCCGUGCCCGGACCAAACGGCGAAGUGUCAGCCGGGACGCGCGGCGUGAGCAACUUGGCCUCAGUCGCGUCAGGAGGCGCGGCCCCUCGAGUCGCCUGUUUUCACAUGUUCCAGUGACAGAGGCCUGCCAGGAGCCCAGAGGGAGACCUCCAGCCCUCAAACAACCAGGACAGGUGAGAAGAGCAUUUUCCUUUUUCAAUUGUGUGGCUCCAGUCUUCAUUCAUCUAAAGAAUACAAUUAUGCACCUUCAUUUUUGCAAAUUAGAGGCAGUACAAUACAAAGCACGAAUCGCAUUAGAAUCUGCAGCCUCUGCUGUGUAGACGACAUUAUCUCGUUUUUUUCUCAUUUAGCUGCUAGAAACUGCCGUAACUGAUCGGGGGUUUGGUGAUGGCCACAUUCAUGAUAUACUGUUGAAGGCCUGAGGCUGACGCUAACCUGUCCGAGGCAAAGAGAAGAUGUGUAAAUGAAUAAGACAGAGCCUGGCAGCUCAAAUAUGAUAAGGAGCCUAUGAUAGCGAAAGUGAUGAGGUUCUUAUUUUAUUCUUUAAAUACUCGCCAGUCAAAAAGAUAUCACUUUGCUGAGUUUAUUACGUGGACACAGAAAGAGAUUUAAACUUUAUUGUUUGCAUUCUUUAUGAACAGAGAGUUUCACUUAAACAUUACAAGUGAAAAGGCUUUUGGAUGAGAACUAACCAAUGGUUGGAAAACUGAAAUACGGAGUUGGACUGGGCCUCUAAAGCUACCAGUGUUGCCAGCAAUUUCUGCUUUCAACAGCAAAGUAGCUAAAGCUCUCUGGAAAAAUGGUGUCUCACGCACUAAUUUGUAAACUAGUUACUUCAUAAUUGUAAAAAAAAAAGGCCAUGCCACUAUGUACUGUUCUGGUCUUUAGAUGUAAUAGUGUUUCCGAGUUAUGAGACAGUGAUCUGCCGAAUAUGGCCGUAUGCAUUUUACUUGUCAGAUCUAUGUGUUUAUGAGCGUUCAUUCCUGUUCUCUAUAGCCGUUAAGUAGCAAUCCCGUUGAUGCAAGGAUGAAAGGGUCCAAGACAUUCACCCUCCUGUGAUCUAGUACACACCCACUCCUGAGAUCACAGGAUCUCAUCUUAUAUAAUGGGCGGUGAAUCCUCCUCUGACUUAGACUCAGUUAGACUCAUUCAAGACUUUUCUGAGACUCCCUUCCUUUGGAUUGUACCUAAAAUGUGUGCCUUGUAUUUGGCUUGCUGGACUGCAUCUAGAUAAAUAGUCUGAACUCCACAACUGCUUCCACCUCCAUCUUUCGUCUGCACUCUCACCUGAACACAACUCUAGUGUCCUGACCCGAUACCCUGGAGCAAUUGUUGCCACACCUUUGGAUCCACAGCACAUACUUUCCAAAAAAUAAUGUAACUGUUGCAUUUACAUAUUUACAUAUUUUAAAAGAUUAGUUACCAAGAGAAGUCAAACUAAAGGGACUGUAACAGAGUCUAACUUAUUACCAUAUUAGAAAUCCAGAAAAAGAAAUAAUAGUGAUAUUAAAGAGUGUAACUUUUAUUUUAAACUCUUCAACUGUGUGAUGACUUAUGUGAGGUUUUACAAUUGACACAAUGCGUAUUAAUUGAUGAGAAAAUGUGAUGCCAUUGAUUGUAAUAAGUGAAUCUUCUUUCCUUGCAGUUU
rnacentral:lncRNA from 1 species